GGCCUGUUAGCUCAGUCGGCAGGGCGUGGUGCUAAUAACGCUAAGGUCGUGAGUUCGAUCCUCACACAGGCCA
rnacentral:tRNA from 1 species